rnacentral:rRNA from 1 species
AGAGUUUGAUCCUGGCUCAGGACGAACGCUGGCGGCGUGCUUAACACAUGCAAGUCGAACGGAAAGGCCCUUCGGGGUACUCGAGUGGCGAACGGGUGAGUAACACGUGGGUGAUCUGCCCUGCACUUUGGGAUAAGCCUGGGAAACUGGGUCUAAUACCGAAUAGGACCGCGCUCUUCAUGGGGUGUGGUGGAAAGCUUUUGCGGUGUGGGAUGGGCCCGCGGCCUAUCAGCUUGUUGGUGGGGUAAUGGCCUACCAAGGCGACGACGGGUAGCCGGCCUGAGAGGGUGACCGGCCACACUGGGACUGAGAUACGGCCCAGACUCCUACGGGAGGCAGCAGUGGGGAAUAUUGCACAAUGGGCGCAAGCCUGAUGCAGCGACGCCGCGUGAGGGAUGACGGCCUUCGGGUUGUAAACCUCUUUCAAUAGGGACGAAGCGCAAGUGACGGUACCUAUAGAAGAAGGACCGGCCAACUACGUGCCAGCAGCCGCGGUAAUACGUAGGGUCCGAGCGUUGUCCGGAAUUACUGGGCGUAAAGAGCUCGUAGGUGGUUUGUCGCGUUGUUCGUGAAAACUCACAGCUUAACUGUGGGCGUGCGGGCGAUACGGGCAGACUAGAGUACUGCAGGGGAGACUGGAAUUCCUGGUGUAGCGGUGGAAUGCGCAGAUAUCAGGAGGAACACCGGUGGCGAAGGCGGGUCUCUGGGCAGUAACUGACGCUGAGGAGCGAAGGCGUGGGGAGCGAACAGGAUUAGAUACCCUGGUAGUCCAA